UGAACCCCGCCUGGGUAAACGCUAGCCACGUGCCCAGUAUCGAGUGUUGCAGCGGCUGUAUAAGACCUUUGGUCGAAGUCGCCGCUUCCGCGUGCACCUAAAGUUAGUGAGGAUGGAGCGAUCGUAGGUGGCCCUGCGACGUUGAAUGGAAUUAGCCCCGAAAUUUGGUAACUGUUGGAUCUUGCCCAAGGUUUGUUCACGUCUGAAGGCAAUAUCGUUUGCAGUAUUAGUGGCAAGCUGCAAGGGAAGACCCGGGGUCGGCGGCCC
rnacentral:ncRNA from 1 species